GAUGAACGCUAGCUACAGGCUUAACACAUGCAAGUCGAGGGGAAACGGCAUUAAGUGCUUGCACUUUUUGGACGUCGACCGGCGCACGGGUGAGUAACGCGUAUCCAACCUUCCCAUGACUAAGGGAUAACCUGCCGAAAGGCAGACUAAUACCUUAUGGUCUUCACUGACGGCAUCAGAUGUGAAGUAAAGAUUUAUCGGUUAUGGAUGGGGAUGCGUCUGAUUAGCUUGUUGGCGGGGUAACGGCCCACCAAGGCAACGAUCAGUAGGGGUUCUGAGAGGAAGGUCCCCCACAUUGGAACUGAGACACGGUCCAAACUCCUACGGGAGGCAGCAGUGAGGAAUAUUGGUCAAUGGGCGAGAGCCUGAACCAGCCAAGUAGCGUGCAGGAAGACGGCCCUAUGGGUUGUAAACUGCUUUUGUAUGGGGAUAAAGUCAAUCACGUGUGAUUGUUUGCAGGUACCAUACGAAUAAGGACCGGCUAAUUCCGUGCCAGCAGCCGCGGUAAUACGGAAGGUCCGGGCGUUAUCCGGAUUUAUUGGGUUUAAAGGGAGCGUAGGCUGGAGAUUAAGUGUGUUGUGAAAUGUAGACGCUCAACGUCUGACUUGCAGCGCAUACUGGUUUCCUUGAGUACGCACAACGUUGGCGGAAUUCGUCGUGUAGCGGUGAAAUGCUUAGAUAUGACGAAAAACUCCGAUUGCGAAGGGCUGACGGAGCGCAACUGACACUGAACUCGAAGGUGCGGGUAUCGAACAG
rnacentral:rRNA from 1 species